rnacentral:rRNA from 1 species
GAUGAACGCUGGCGGCGUGCCUAAUACAUGCCAGUCGAGCGAACAGACGAGGAGCUUGCUCCUCUGACGUUAGCGGCGGACGGGUGAGUAACACGUGGAUAACCUACCUAUAAGACUGGGAUAACUUCGGGAAACCGGAGCUAAUACCGGAUAAUAUAUUGAACCGCAUGGUUCAAUAGUGAAAGACGGUUUUGCUGUCACUUAUAGAUGGAUCCGCGCCGCAUUAGCUAGUUGGUAAGGUAACGGCUUACCAAGGCAACGAUGCGUAGCCGACCUGAGAGGGUUAUCGGCCACACUGGAACGGAGACACGGUCCAGACUCCUACGGGAGGCAGCAGUAGGGAAUCGUCCGCAAUGGGCGAAAGCUUGACGGAGCAACGCCGCGUGAGUGAUGAAGGUCUUCGGAUCGUAAAACUCUGUUAUUAGGGAAGAACAAAUGUGUAAGUAACUAUGCACGUCUUGACGGUACCUAAUCAGAAAGCCACGGCUAACUACGUGC